rnacentral:rRNA from 1 species
GAUGAACGCUGGCGGCGUGCUUAACACAUGCAAGUCGAACGGACAGGCUCCUGCUUGCAGGGGUACUCGUGUGGCGAACGGGUGAGUAACACGUGGGUGAUCUGCCCUGCACUUCGGGAUAAGCCUGGGAAACUGGGUCUAAUAUCGGAUAGGACCACUUUUUGGAUGUUGUGGUGGAAAGAUUUACGGUGUGGGAUGAGCUCGCGGCCUAUCAGCUUGUUGGUGGGGUAAUGGCCUACCAAGGCGUCGACGGGUAGCCGGCCUGAGAAGGUGUACGGCCACAUGAGGACUAAGGGACGGCCCAGACUCCUACGGGCGGCAGCAGUGGAGAGUAUUACACAAUAGGCGCAAGCCUGAUGCGGCGGCGCCGCGUGGGGGAUGACGUCCUUCGGGUUAUAAACUCCUGUCGCUGGAGACGAAGCGCAAGUGACGGUACCUAGAGAAGAAGCACCGGCUAACUACGUG